rnacentral:lncRNA from 1 species
AGGACUGGUGUCUGGAGAGGGCUGCUCUCUGCUUCCAAGAUGAUACCUUUUUGCUGCACUCUCCAGAGGGAAGGAACACUGCAUUCUCACAUGGCAGAAGGAACAGAAGGAAAAGACAGCCUUCCCUUCAAUCCUAAGCUCUUUUAUAAGGGUAUUAAUUUCAUUCGUAAUGUUUGCAAAGAAUAUAUUUUUCCAUCAUUUACCCUCAAUGCAUUGCAUCUUUAGAAAGCAAAAUCACUAGAGAUAUAU